rnacentral:snoRNA from 1 species
UAUUGGCCUAGUUAGGAGGCAAAGAUCAAUUGCAUCUCAGGCCUUUUGAGGGGACAACCUGAUUCUUGAUUUAGUUGUCCUCCAAGCAGCCUAGGACAUGU